CUGUUGAAAAUGAAUUGAGCUAUUUGAAAAAACGAUAAUGUAAUAAACGUAUAGGUCUAAUUAAUUAUGCAUUAGUUAUAAGAGGAUCAAAAACACAUUAGAUGUUAUUUUCUGUAAAAUUUUUAGAAAAAUUAGCUGCUGACAUAUUAUUCGGAAACUCAGUUGGUUUGGUUUUUGAUUAGCAUCCUGUUUAUGCAUACUUGAACAUUUUUUUUUUAGCGAAGACCACCAUGUCACAGUCAGCUAACGAAUCGCCCACUGAAGAACCUUUAGACUGCAGCUAAAGGAUUGAAACCUCAGCUCUCAAUAAACGAACAUGAAGACGGCAGCCAAACGUGCUUCUGACUGGAAAUCACAGAUAAGUCUGUUUUAAUGAAAUGGUAACACUUUACAAUAAGGUUCAUUAGUUAACGUUAAUAAACUCAGUUAACGUGACCUAAGAAUACUGCAGCAAUUCUUACUUUUAUUCUUAGUUAAUGUUAAUUUCAUUAUUUUCUAAUGCAUUAUUAAAAUUACAAGCUGCGUUUGUUAACGUUAGUUAAAUGCACUGUGAACAAACAUGAAUAAGCAAUGAACAACUGUAUUUUUAUUAACUAACAAAGAUUAAUAAAGAGUAUGAUAAAUACAGUUUACAUUGUUAGUUCCUGUUAACUAAUACAUUAACUAAUGUUAACACAUGACACUUAUUUUAAAGUGUUACCAAUGAAACAAAUCUGCUUUUAUGACUAUUUAUCUAGAAAUAGGCAUGUGCUAUUACAAUCUUAGACAAUAUUACUUAUUAAAAGUGUUUGACUCCCACUGAUUCCAUCCAAAAAAUAAUGAUCUCACAUAUGAUUAUUUAUUUACAUUACAAUUUUAUUUGUCCGUCAUAUAUUUUUGAUUCGCAUGGGCUUUUAAUUGCUAGUCUUCGGUUCUACGUUAGACGGCGCUCACUUUUGUAGUCUGUGCUAGAUAAACACGAAUAUGGUAUGUAUAAGUAUUACUAAGGAAAUCUUUCAUUUCACAAAUGUUUUUUUGCUCUGUUAUUAAAAUUAAAGAAUAUUGUGAAUAUCGAUCAUUUUGUGUAACUACUGAAACUUUUAUUAUACGUAAUAAUGACAUAUUUACAUGGCUACACAUAGUCCGACUGUUAGCCUAUUAGCAUUUUUUGUAAAUCGAUGCGUUUUGCAUCUGCGAUUAAUCUAUAGAGUCUGUAAAUUGCGAAAAUCUUACAUUUAUUGCUAUUGUUAUCUAGCAUGAUUUAUUAUUUAGGGUGGUUGGCGUUUUUGGUUUCUCGUUCAUCCGUGACGAUCAUCAAAGCUUAACUAACGCCUAUAACGAGGCUUCCUGAAAAGUCGUGAAUAUAAGCUAUCGUUAUUACAAUAAACUGAUUUGUUUUUUGUUCACUUAAAAAGAGGAUUUUAACUGCUUUCAGGGCAGGAUCAUGACGAAAUAUAUAGUUUAAACAUUCUUUGAGAGGUCCAAAUCUUCAGUAUGAUGGUCAAACUUACACGUAUAAGACACAAACUGGAUUGAGGUCCUGCUAACAACUAUUUUAUUUGCAUUUGUUUUCAGGGUACAAUACAGGUACUCCCUCAUCAACCCUCAGUGGGUCAAAUUAAGAGCCCUAUCCAGUGUGAGGAGAAUCCUGAAGGAUUGGGUGGAGUGAUAAUAUUCGACCGGGAGACGUUCUCUAUGAACAAAAAACACUUGGUGCCAGCUCUUCCCUCUAAAGAUGAAAAACUCUGUCAGACCAGUUCUGUUGUUGCGGGAAGUGAAGACAAUGCCUCCCUUAAAUUUUAAAUAAAGGUAUUUUACAGUGA